GGCCACAAUAAACCAGUGCUCCCUAAUUCAGCGGCUUUAUUGUCUUGCAUCAGGGAUAGAAUCUCACCAUCCUUGACUACGAAAGACUGUAGACUCCCGCAGGUCAAGGAUUAUCCUCCUCUGUGUUCCCCCAAGCCUCACACAGUGUUCUGCCCAGAGUAGAUGCUCAAUCAGUCAUACUGAAGAUGAAAGUGAUGGUAUCGAUAAUGAUGAUGAUGGUGAUGAUGGAGAAGUGGGGGUAGAAAUAUGCAAAUGAAAAUCUGAAGAAAAAAAGCCUUGAUGAAUUACACAACAGCCUCCAAGUCGACCCAUGCCAGCGGUAGUAGCUUGUGGGCCAACAGUGAAAUAAGGAUUUUAAGUAGAUUGAACAAAUCAGCCGGCAGAGUGAUUUACAGUGAGGCUCCAAAAGAUUGCUAGACCAUUUUCUGUUCCUCUUUGUCCUUGGGCUUCUCUUCACACAUCAAAUCCAAUUCCAACUGGUUUUCAUUCGAGGUGAUUUUUGGCACGAGCAACCAUUUCCAAAGCCGACAAGUCUCCAUAAAAGAGCAUUGCCAUCCAGCAGCAAAGAUUAGAACUAAGAGUGGAAAAGCCUGUUCCAUUGCAUUCUCCUUCCCAUUGGAGUGAUCUGCAGCUGGUUUUACUGUGCACUUUGCCUCAAUUUGGAGAAAUUAGACCUCUUUAGCAAUGUAAACCUCACCCAGACCAGAGUUUACAUCAUUAAUAACAUUACUAAUAUUGCUCCUUCAAAAGCAUUUCUGAAGUAAAGAAGAGCUAUUUAACUACAAUCAACAUCGCUGUUUCAGUUAUGAAGAAAUAUGAAUCAAAAUCUUCACAGCUGGUUAUUACCCUCCCAAAAAUUAAAUGUACAGUGAGUUAGAAAAA